UCCUAUAACACAAUGAUAUGAUAC
rnacentral:siRNA from 1 species